rnacentral:rRNA from 1 species
CCUACGGGAGGCAGCAGUAAGGAAUCUUCCACAAUGGACGAAAGUCUGAUGGAGCAACGCCGCGUGCAGGAUGAAGGCUUUCGGGUCGUAAACUGCUUUUAUAUGGGAAGAUUAUGACGGUACCAUAUGAAUAAGGACCGGCUAACUACGUGCCAGCAGCCGCGGUAAUACGUAGGGUCCAAGCGAUAUCCGGAAUUACUGGGCGUAAAGCGUGUGUAGGUGGAUUAAUAAGUGUGAUGCGAAAUCCGGCGGCUCAACCGUUUGGACUGUGUCGCAUACUGUUAGUCUAGAGGACGGCAGAGGUAAGUGGAAUUACGGGUGUAGCAGUGAAAUGCGUAGAUAUCCGUAGGAACACCAAUGGCGAAGGCAGCUUACUGGGCCACACCUGACACUGAGACACGAAAGCGUGGGGAGCGAACAGGAUUAGAUAUCCUGGUAGUCCACGCCGUAAACGAUGCAUACUAUUAGUAUGGGGUAUCGACCCCCUGUGCUGAGAAGCUAACGCGAUAAGUAUGCCGCCGNGGGAGGUACGAGCGCGAAGUACGUAAACUUAACGAAAGUAAAGUUAGUUAGGCGNGAGAGNGCGACGGACGACGACGAGGGAGGAGG